rnacentral:rRNA from 1 species
UACGAAGGGGGCUAGCGUUGUUCGGAUUUACUGGGCGUAAAGCGCACGUAGGCGGAUCGUUAAGUGAGGGGUGAAAUCCCAGGGCUCAACCCUGGAACUGCCUUUCAUACUGGCGAUCUAGAGUCCGGAAGAGGUGAGUGGAACUCCUAGUGUAGAGGUGGAAUUCGUAGAUAUUGGGAAGAACACCAGUGGCGAAGGCGGCUCACUGGUCCGGUACUGACGCUGAGGUGCGAAAGCGUGGGGAGCAAACAGG